AGCCAGGGGCGGCCUGGGGCUCUAGGAGCCCACAGGCACCGCGAUGCCCCGGGGGCCUAGGAGCUCGGCCAGGCGCCUUGGUGACCCAGGUUCCCCCCGGGGUUACUGGCGCCGCCACGUGCCGGAUGUGAUUUCAUUGCUGGAACAGAUCGACACUUCUGCUGGGACCUGGUCUCUGCCUGUCAGCAUUUAGUCUGGCACUGCUCUCCUGGUCUCAAGUUGGCUGGCCCACACUGCAGAUUUUAAACUCCUCAGAAUCCAUA